rnacentral:rRNA from 1 species
GACGAACGCUGGCGGCGUGCUUAACACAUGCAAGUCGAACGGAGUGGCGAACGGGUGAGUAACACGUGGGUGAACUGCCUUGCACUUCGGGAUAAGCUUGGGAAACUGGGUAUAAUUCCGGCAAGUGCAAGAUGAGCUCGCGGCCUAUCAGCUUGUUGGUGGGGUAAUGGCCUACCAAGGCGUCGACGGGUAGCCGGCCUGAGAGGGGGUACGGCCACAUUGGGACUGAGAGACGGCCCAGAGUCGUACGGGAGGCAGCAGUGGGGAAUUUUGCACAAUGGGGGGAAGCGUGAUGAAGCGACGCCGCGUGUGGGAUGAAGGUCUUCGGGUUGUAAAGUCCUUGCGACAGGGACGCGGUACCUGUAUAAGAAGCACCGGCUAACUACGUGCCAGCAGCCGCGGUAAUUC